CUUAACUCGAGGUGUAGUUCGCUCCGGGAUUGCUCCCUACCGCUUUGGGCUGAGCUGGUUUUGGGACACGCUAUUUCCCCUGCAACAUGUUGAGCUACUUGUUGGCUUGCAACCUCAGGAGUUUUCUGGGUGAAAUCUGAAACCAGCACCUCUUUCCCCCUUCCCCCUCCCACAAGGAGAGAAGGGAGAGACCCAAGAAGGAAGCAGCCACUCCGGAUAGCCAAAGAGGAAAGAAAGGUGUCUGGAAGACAAGUGAUGGGGAAAUGACCAGGAACUGCAAGAUAAACAUGAGUAAGGUUUGUUAUGCAGAUUUAAAUUAAUGCCUUUUCUUUCUUU